rnacentral:rRNA from 1 species
AUUGAACGCUGGCGGCAGGCUUAACACAUGCAAGUCGAGCGGAGCGAGGGUGCUUGCACCUUAGCUUAGCGGCGGACGGGUGAGUAAUGCUUAGGAAUCUGCCUAUUAGUGGGGGACAACAUUCCGAAAGGAAUGCUAAUACAGCAUACGCCCUUCGGGGGAAAGCAGGGGAUCUUAGGAACUUGAGCUAAUAGAUGAGCCUAAGUCGGAUUAGCUAGUUGGUGGGGUAAAGGCCUACCAAGGGGACGAGCUGUAGCGGGUCUGAGAGGAUGAUCCGCCACACUGGGACUGAGACACGGCCCAGACUCCUACGGGAGGCAGCAGUGGGGAAUAUUGGACAAUGGGCGGAAGCCUGAUCCAGCCAUGCCGCGUGUGUGAAGAAGGCCUUUUGGUUGUAAAGCACUUUAAGCGAGGAGGAGGCUACUUAGAUUAAUACUCUGGGAUAGUGGACGUUACUCGCAGAAUAAGCACCGGCUAACUCUGUGCCAGCAGCCGCCGUAA